ACUCAUACCUGGCAGGGGAGAUACCAUUAUUGUAAAAGGGUAAGGCUCAUCUAUUGCCCUCUGGAUAUGCUGACCCCUGUGAUUUCCCCAAAUGUGGGAAAAUCAACUGCCUAAGUGGGGGACUGUGUGGUUUCCCCUG
rnacentral:snRNA from 1 species